UGGCUUAGGGGAAAUCCUGCCUCUCUGAAAACACACCCACCUGGCAAUAGGGAAUCCUGCCUUUCCUUUUGAUUCCAAAUUGACAAUGGAGUGAGUGUUAAAUGGAAAUUUAUACUCAGUUGGAGGCCACACACGAGACAGCUGUACAGGCAGGGCUGACUUCUCCCUCAUUCUCCCAUCCACAUGUGAUGCCCUGGAGUCCUGUGACUGCCACCUCUUUCCUUUCAGUUCUUUCAGAAAUGCCCGCUCUUCUUUAAAUUCUAGAGCCUAGAAUUUGAAGAUGUCACUAGAUACUCUCUUCAUGCCGGAGUACAGUAUAUGUUCCCUUUUAUGCUGUCAUUUUUUCCUUCCAGGGCACACUCUGUGGUGCAGUGGAACAGUCUGACUGCUGCCUCCGAAGGAGCAUUUACAGGAAUAAGUUUGAGCUGACCUGUGUGGGACCCAGGCAGGUGAUUGUGAAGAACCUGGCAUCAGGGACCCACGUGGUGCUCAAGUCUCACCAUGGCUAUGAGGUGGAAGAGGUGAAAAUCCUGGGAAAGGAGCAUUAUUUGGUGGUGCACAUAGCAGAUAUGCUGCUGCUGGGAGACCUGAACACAAAUCGCCUUAGUGAGGUAGCCUGGCAGGGGUCUGGCGGCAAUGAAAAGUAUUUCUUUAAAAAUGAGAAUGUACCGGGGAUCGAACUCAGGACCUUGUGAUUGCAUUGCGGCAGAACCACUGAGCUAAAUCCCCAGCCCUGUCUCCUUUUCUUGACAGUGGAUCUGAUUGGUGGCUACAACAUUGGUACCAUAAGUCAUGAGAGCCGUCUGGAUUGGCUGGACCUUAAUGAGACUGGGCACAAACUCCUCUUCAGGAACCGGAAACUUCGUGUGAGGAUUACUAGGGUCUUAAGCCUUGGCUGGCCCACAGAGGGUGUGACACAAGCUUGUAGGGGGCUCUACAGAGUAUAAUUUCAUUGUAUAGGCCAGUGAUGGUGAAACUUUUAGAGCUUUCGAUGAUACAAACAGCCUGCUGUGGCAUGUGUGCCCUAGUUACCUGAAGUCAUAGGAGUUGGCAUGAGGAGUUUCCCCCUUACCCCUUUGUUGGGAGCAAUGCUACAUAAUUCUAGGGAAAAAUCAUUUGUUUAGGCCUAGUUCUUUCUGCCUACAGGCCAGCUCUGGCAUACUGAGACCUAAUUCCAUUUUGGCCUUGGGUCACAACUGAGACCUUAGUGAUCCUGUGAUGCUCCAGGGCAAGACCACACCUGCGGGA